GCAGUGGUGGUUCAGUGGUAGAAUUCUCACCUGCCAUGCAGGAGACACAGGUUUAAUUCCUGGCCAAUGUA
rnacentral:tRNA from 1 species